rnacentral:rRNA from 1 species
GAGGGGCAGCAUGAACUUAGCUUGCUAAGUUUGAUGGCGACCGGCGCACGGGUGAGUAACACGUAUCCAACCUGCCGAUGACUCGGGGAUAGCCUUUCGAAAGAAAGAUUAAUACCCGAUGGCAUAGUUCUUCCGCAUGGUAGAACUAUUAAAGAAUUUCGGUCAUCGAUGGGGAUGCGUUCCAUUAGGUUGUUGGCGGGGUAACGGCCCACCAAGCCUUCGAUGGAUAGGGGUUCUGAGAGGAAGGUCCCCCACAUUGGAACUGAGACACGGUCCAAACUCCUACGGGAGGCAGCAGUGAGGAAUAUUGGUCAAUGGACGAGAGUCUGAACCAGCCAAGUAGCGUGAAGGAUGACUGCCCUAUGGGUUGUAAACUUCUUUUAUACGGGAAUAAAGUGAGGCACGUGUGCCUUUUUGUAUGUACCGUAUGAAUAAGGAUCGGCUAACUCCGUGCCAGCAGCCGCGGUAAUACGGAGGAUCCGAGCGUUAUCCGGAUUUAUUGGGUUUAAAGGGAGCGUAGGCGGACGCUUAAGUCAGUUGUGAAAGUUUGCGGCUCAACCGUAAAAUUGCAGUUGAUACUGGGUGUCUUGAGUACAGUAGAGGCAGGCGGAAUUCGUGGUGUAGCGGUGAAAUGCUUAGAUAUCACGAAGAACUCCGAUUGCGAAGGCAGCCUGCUGGACUGUAACUGACGCU